rnacentral:rRNA from 1 species
GAUGGACGCUGGCGGCGUGCCUAAUACAUGCAAGUCGAGCGAACAGACGAGGAGCUUGCUCCUCUGACGUUAGCGGCGGACGGGUGAGUAACACGUGGAUAACCUACCUAUAAGACUGGGAUAACUUCGGGAAACCGGAGCUAAUACCGGAUAAUAUAUUGAACCGCAUGGUUCAAUAGUGAAAGACGGUUUUGCUGUCACUUAUAGAUGGAUCCGCGCCGCAUUAGCUAGUUGGUAAGGUAACGGCUUACCAAGGCAACGAUGCGUAGCCGACCUGAGAGGGUGAUCGGACACACUGGAACUGAGACACGGUCCAGACUCCUACGGGAGGCAGCAGUAGGGAAUCUUCCGCAAUGGGCGAAAGCCUGACGGAGCAACGCCGCGUGAGUGAUGAAGGUCUUCGGAUCGUAAAACUCUGUUAUUAGGGAAGAACAAAUGUGUAAGUAACUAUGCACGUCUUGACGGUACCUAAUCAGAAAGCCACGGCUAACUACGUG